UACAUGCAGUCGAGCGAACAGAUAAGGAGCUUGCUCCUUUGACGUUAGCGGCGGACGGGGGAGUAACACGUGGAUAACCUACCUAUAAGACUGGGAUAACUUCGGGAAACCGGAGCUAAUACCGGAUAACAUAUUGAACCGCAUGGUUCAAUAGUGAAAGGCGGUUUUGCUGUCACUUAUAGAUGGAUCCGCGCCGUAUUAGCUAGUUGGUAAGGUAACGGCUUACCAAGGCAACGAUACGUAGCCGACCUGAGAGGGUGAUCGGCCACACUGGAACUGAGACACGGUCCAGACUCCUACGGGAGGCAGCAGUAGGGAAUCUUCCGCAAUGGGCGAAAGCCUGACGGAGCAACGCCGCGUGAGUGAUGAAGGUCUUCGGAUCGUAAAACUCUGUUAUCAGGGAAGAACAAAUGUGUAAGUAACUGUGCACAUCUUGACGGUACCUGAUCAGAAAGCCACGGCUAACUACGUGCCAGCAGCCGCGGUAAUACGUAGGUGGCAAGCGUUAUCCGGAAUUAUUGGGCGUAAAGCGCGCGUAGGCGGUUUUUUAAGUCUGAUGUGAAAGCCCACGGCUCAACCGUGGAGGGUCAUUGGAAACUGGAAAACUUGAGUGCAGAAGAGGAAAGUGGAAUUCCAUGUGUAGCGGUGAAAUGCGCAGAGAUAUGGAGGAACACCAGUGGCGAAGGCGACUUUCUGGUCUGUAACUGACGCUGAUGUGCGAAAGCGUGGGGAUCAAACAGGAUUAGAUACCCUGGUAGUCCACGCCGUAACGAUGAGUGCUAAGUGUUAGGGGGUUCCGCCCCUUAGUGCUGCAGCUAACGCAUUAAGCACUCCGCCUGGGAGUACGACCGCAAGGUUGAAACUCAAAGGAAUUGACGGGACCCGCACAAGCGGUGGAGCAUGUGGUUUAUUUCGAGGCCACCCGAAGAACCUUACCAAAUCUUGACAUCCUCUGACCCCUCUAGAGAUAGAGUUUUCCCCUUCGGGGGACAGAGUGACAGGUGGUGCAUGG
rnacentral:rRNA from 1 species